rnacentral:rRNA from 1 species
AUUGAACGCUAGCGGGAUGCCUUACACAUGCAAGUCGAACGGAGUGGCGAACGGGUGAGUAAUGUAUCGGAACGUGCCCAGUAGCGGGGGAUAACUACGCGAAAGCGUAGCUAAUACCGCAUACUAUUGGAGCGGCCGAUAUCGGAUUAGCUCGUUGGUGGGGUAACGGCGCACAAAGGCGACGAUCCGGAGCUGGUUUGAGAGGACGACCAGCCACACUGGGACUGAGACACGGCCCAGACUCCUCCGGGAGGCAGCAGUGGGGAAUUUUGGACAAUGGGGGAAACCCUGAUGCAGCCGUGCCGCGUGUGUGAAGAAGGCCUGCGGGUUGUAAAGCACUGUCAGCGAGGAGGCGUUACUCGCAGAAGAAGCACCGGCUAACUCCGUGCCAGCAGCCGCGGUAAUAC